AUUGAACGCUGGCGGCAGGCCUAACACAUGCAAGUCGAGCGGAGCGGCGGACGGGCGAGUAAUGCCUAGGAAUCUGCCUGGCAGUGGGGGAUAACGUCCGGAAACGGGCGCUAAUACCGCAUACUAUCAGAUGAGCCGAGGACGGAUUAGAUAGUUGGUGGGGUAAAGGCCUACCAAGGCGACGAUCCGUAACUGGUCUGAGAGGAUGAUCAGUCACGCUGGAACUGGGAGACGGUACAGACGCCUACUGGAGGCAGCAGUGGGGAAUAUUGGGCAAUGGGCGCGAGCCUGACCCAGGAACGCCGCGUGAAGGAAGACGGUAUUCGGAUGGAAAACGUCUUUAGACAGAGACGCGGUACCUGUAGAAUAAGCCACGGCUAACUACGUGCCAGCAGCCGCGGUAAUUC
rnacentral:rRNA from 1 species